rnacentral:lncRNA from 1 species
GUUUGUCGGGGAAAUCCAUCAGAAAAUUCGAUUGCGUCUUGGGUUGUGUUUGAGCAUAUGUUUGUCGCCGGAUAAUAUGUGAGGGCACCGCCGUGGAACGGACAUCUAGAGCAAUCUUUUCCCAGCCUUCCAGUUUGCGUAAAUCACAUACUCUGAUGCGAACUUCAGAACUUCAAGUGAAAGCAUAUUAAGCAAACAAAACCCGACUCGUAAGAAUUCACCUCCGUAUGGGUUUGGACGAUGGAUAACAAAAUAAUCGUCGGAUUUAACCGAUGGAAAGUGUCUUUAAUCGAUUGAUGAUUAG